UGCCACUGAGCAUGCUCAGCUGCUCUGAAAUCUCUCCUUAAUUUUUUGCCCUUACUUGGAAUCGGAUUUACGAAUCCCGUUCACAAGACGGAGAGGCGUCCCUUUUAAAGGAAAGAGGGCACAAAGGGAUAUGUUGCUAUUAGAUAAUGCGAAAGGAAACGAAAUUUAGUGUGUAUUGUUUUAAUUCUGCAAAAUUAACGUGCCCAGGCGUUGAACGCACAAAGAGUCCUUACCUAGUUGCCAUCUGGAGGGGAUUUUAUUGGCUUAGCCAAGAUUUCAUUCUUUUGAUUGGGUGCCACAACAGGAGAAUUAAGCCAAGCCAAUCAUUUUCACAGGAUGUCCCCAUAUUCUUGGAUUAUGAGGGAGUUGACCUGCCUUGACAGGACUUUCUGUUCCUUCUGGGGCAGAAAAAGAAAACAAAGGCGUGUGAAAAGACUCUGUCACCUGUUUGAGCCUGAACUUUGAACUGAGAGCCCAGCUGGCAACUUCAGAGCUGGGCGUGUUUCUUCCAAACCUUUCGGUAGUGCUUCUGGUGUCAGCAGCUGCUGUGGAAUGCAAGCAGGUAAACAGCUCCGAAGAUCCCUGGACCACUUGAGCGAGGAGUUAAUGGAGGCUUUGGAGUAGCAGGUAGCUGCCCACGUUUACAUGCUCAGGUCCGACGCUGACCUGAUUCCCCCUUCCGCAUUCUCCCAGAACUGGAGAGAAUGAGGGUGCUUCCACACCUUCAAGAAUAAUCAGUGGCAGAUCUAGCUAGCCCCAUUCCUUGUGCAUCCACAUACAAGCCAGCAUCCACAUACAAGCCAGCAUCCACCCAAGGCCCACCCAGGAUCACUCCCCCCCCCAUUUAACAGGCACAAGAGCUUCCACCACCGCUCCUUGCCUCCCGACUGCUUCCUUGAAGGCCAUCUUCUGCUGUUCCACCUUAAAUAUAUCUUUUGACAUCCCACCUCGAAGAGCUCUCUCUCUCUGUCUCUAGGACACACCAGAAGGACGCAGGCCAACUUUGCAGCAUAGAGGCUGUAAGGGAGAGUCUUGAACAAGGAGCACAGCAUUUCCCAAUGGAUACCUGGCCCUGGAGCAACGAAGAGGAGUCUCCCUUCAAAGGGUUGCCCCCCUUGCCUAAAGCUUUCAAGGAGCCCAGCUUGCCUCCAUCUCCUCUGCCUGGGGAAGGAGAGCAGGAAGCGGUCAACGUGCUUGAGGGGCGCACCGCCAGCCUCCAAGACAAGAUCACCUGGGUGCACAGGGAAAUGCUCAGCUUGCGCUUGGCUGAUCUGGCCCUUUUCAAUCAGCUCUACACCCUCGCGCUGGAAAUCCAGGACCUGAAGGAGCUGCACCAGGAGAUGGAAACUUUCUCCAGGGAGGAGCUGCUUGCAGAUGAGCACGGCCAGCUAGGAGGUAUCAGUGCAGCUACAAACAUCCACUCUGCUGCAGCUUUCGAACUGACCAUCUGAAAAUGGGGAGGCAGUGUCCAUCUCCGAUUCGUUAUUACUCCCAUGCAAAUUAUUGCUUGACACUCCAGGCGCUGAGCGAUCAACGUGCAUGUGUGAAUGUGCCUUUAGUUCCAAGAUUUGGAGUGUGAUCCCCAAGCUCUUGAUUUCUCUAACCCCAUCCUCACAAUCUAGAGAAAAUGGAGUAGACCUAGUGUUUUGCAAAAAAACUCUCUUUAAGUGCUCUUAACCUCUGCUUGGAGAAGUCAUUUUCUGUUGCUUUUGGAAGUUGAUGCUAGCUGACCUCCAAGGGGAAAGGUCUUUCACAUUUCGUGCAUGUUUACCUACCUUGUAUUGUAGUGCCUUUAAGCUGUAGCCUGACACACAGGAAUUAAGGAGACGUAUUCUCCUGACACGGAGAUAAAGCGAAGGUAAAAGUUUCACCAUCAAAGCAUCUACAAACCAGACUGCAGAGAAGCAAAGCCACUAAAAAAAAAAAAGUGGCAACCCUAUUUCCACCCCAUCUUCCUUCUACUAGUAAAUCCAGUUGUGUUCACAGAGCAUCAUAAUUUCAACAAUGGUGAAGAAUCAACUAUUUUAGAAAAUCUAUAUUAGGAGACUAAGUGUAAAACAUUUUUACAAAAUACAGUCAUUGUGGCAAUAGAGCUAGUUCCUGGGUGAUGCAAAUAAGCUUUGUCACAGUCUCUAAUGAAAAGCAGGCACAAGUAGUUUUUCUCCAAGAACAGGCACCAGCGGUUUGGGCCACUGAAGCAUCUUCCCAUCUGGCCACUUAGCUGUCUUGAUUUAUCUUUCUUGCUAAUUUCAGCCACUCACCAAUCUGGGAGGCAAUUUGCUGUAGGAGGGAUGAUGGCGGGGGGGGGAGCAGAAACAGAGAAAACAAAACAGGGUUGGCCUCUGUAGUUAACAGAGAAUGCUCCAUAUCCCCACAGAACCCACACUGCCAGACUCCUGCCUAAACCCCAAUUUACAGGCCAUUCUCCUAAUUCAGAGCCAAUACGUAGAUGAAAAACAGUAUUCAAAUACUGUAAAAUAAGUUAGGACAGGGACAGCCAGUGUGGUGCCCUCCAGACAGGGCUGGCACCAGGCAUGACUGGACCCUUGGCCACCAGCCUGCCCUGGGCUGGCAGCACCCUGUAGCCCAACACUGAUUCAGGUGGCGCAGGGCUAAUAAGCCCACCUACCUCUUGUGCUAUGUGAAUGAAGUGGGUGUGUAGUGCACAUGCCUGCCAACAAUGAAGAUGGCAGGCAUGCGUGCACAGCCCGCACGGCAUUCACACUGAUGGGAGUGAUAGGUGGGGCGUGUGUGCAGGCUUAUUGAAGCUUGCACUGUCUGUAUUGGGGGGGGCUGCCUGGGAGCUCCCUCUCCGCAAUCUGUGGCAGGGUUGGGUUUCAGGGCCUGACAUUGCAGCAGAUCACAGAAUGGGAGCUCCACCCUAAGGAGGGGCCCUUCAGGGGCUCCUCUGGGCUGCAAGGGCCCAAACUGGCUGCCCUCUGGUGCUAGCACUGCCUCCAGAUGUUUUGGACUACAACUCCCAUCAUCCCUAGCUAUUGGCCAUGCUGGCUGGGGUUGAUGGGAGCUGGAGUCCACAACUACAUCUGGAGGGCACCCUGUUGGCUGACCCCAAUUCACUUCACAAUAUCUGAAUACUGAAUUUCAAUAAUCAGAGGUUUCCUCCCAUAAUCGCUUUGGUUUUAGACUGCUGUGAAGAUGAACAAAUAUUUGGGUGUGUGGGUAACUUAUUGAACUGUGCCCAGUCAAUAGAAUCCCCAUCUUGUUCAGGGUCAGUCUUUCCCAUUCUGGUGGCUGCUUUGGACUAAAACUCCCAUCAGCCUAGCUAAACAAUGCUGGGGCUGAUGGGAGUUGUAGUCCAAAACACCUGGAUGGCACCAGGUUGGGAAAGGCUGCAAUAAGCCUUUGAACAACAGAUGCUGGGGACAAACACAGGGAAGACCAUUCCUCAGAUGUCCAACAUUUGGGUGGUCAUUGCUAGAAAGAAGAGCCCUGCAGGAUCAGGCCAAGGGUCCAAGCAGCCCAGAAUCCUAUGUUUUUAGGCAGGAAUAGGGAACCUUAGGCCCUCCAGGUGUUGCUGCACUUCAACUCCCAUCAGCCCUAGCAAGCGUGGUCCGUGGCCAGGGUUGAUGGCAGUUGUAGUUCAGCAGCACCUGGGGCGGGGGGGGGCAAAGGUUCCCCACACUCUUGGUGCUGACCACUGUGAAGGCUCACAGACUACAAAUUGGGUCUUUAUAGGCAGGGCUGGCCCCAAUGGGAGGGCCCCUGGAGCCACAGAGGUCCCUGAGGGGCCUCUCGAUAGGGUGGGGGAGGAGUAGCACUCCUUUCCCACUAUCUGCAGCAGAGUAGCUGCCGCGGAUCACAGGGAGGGAGCUUCUUCCACCCGCCUGUUUGCUGGCUCCAUCUACCUGUUUCUCCUGUCUUUUGAGGUUGCACGGGCUGCGUGCACAGAACUGCCAUUAACCAAGAUGGCGGCCAAGGUUUCCCUAAGGGGCUGAAGCCUCCAGCGCCAUCUUGGUUGAUGGCAACAAUGCAUGCGUGUAGCAGCCUGCUCAGUGGAGCCAGCAAACAGGCAGGCAGAAGAAACUCCCUUCCUGCGAGAGACAUGUUCGCGCGCGUGUGAGUGCACACACCGGGACCCCAGCAUGUCUGGCACCGGCUCUGUUUAUAGGAGGGAAGGGAACUUCCCCAAAGGGUUCUGCAAUCCAGUCAAAUCCUUUCCGUGUUGCCUUCAGCCCCAAACCAUCCAGGCUGGCGGAAACAGAACCCCCGAGAACAGUUCUGGAUUCCAGCCUAAUUCUUUCCCAAACUACCUCCGGCCCCAGAACGUUCAGGCUCAGCUCCCUGGCCCACUCUCACCUCUUUAGCGUGGACAAGGGGCAAAGGGUCUGUAGAGCUGGACGAAGACAUGUCGGCACAGUGGGCAGUGCCGUUGAUUAAAAUGGCCAGUUCAGAGCUGGACUGGUUCUUGAGGACACUCAGGGCAUGCCAAGGAUCAAUGUCCCCUGGGAAGAAAGAGGGCAGGGGUUAAAAAACCAGCAACAAGGAGAGAAAGUAAACUGAUUAGCAAAUCUGAUCCAGUGGGAGAGGCAGAUCUCAGAAGCAAAGCUCCAACGCCAAGGUGGGGAAGAAAUGUCCCGAUACUCUCCCUGGCAAAUGUGUUUAGUGGUAUAGACACCUGAGAAGAGAGCCCUCCUUGGCUUAGAUCAGGGGUUCCCAAACUGUGGUCUGUAGACCACGAGUGGCCCGCGAGCUUCAUUCAGGUGGUCUGGGGCAUGUCUGUGGAUUUCAAGAUGGGAGACGCCACACCCAUUGCAUUAAAUAUUCACAUUGAUUUUCAAUUGCAUUUUUAUGCUUCCUUUCUUUCUUACACUUGAAUUCCAUGGGAGGAAGGGGGGGGGAAAGAAAUUUAAUAAAUAAUAAUAAUGUAAGAAAUAAAAGCGAUGAA